rnacentral:rRNA from 1 species
UACGAAGGGGGCUAGCGUUGUUCGGAUUUACUGGGCGUAAAGCGCACGUAGGCGGAUCGUUAAGUCGGGGGUGAAAUCCUGGAGCUCAACUCCAGAACUGCCUUCGAUACUGGCGAUCUCGAGUCCGGAAGAGGUGAGUGGAACUCCUAGUGUAGAGGUGGAAUUCGUAGAUAUCGGGAGGAACACCGAUGGCGAAGGCAGGUCUCUGGGCCAUAACUGACGCUGAGAAGCGAAAGCAUGGGGAGCGAACAGG